rnacentral:tRNA from 1 species
GCCUGGGUGUCUCAGUCGGUUGAGCAUCUGACUUCGGCUCAGGUCAUGAUCUCACAGCUCGUGAGUUCAAACCCCACGUCGGGCU